rnacentral:rRNA from 2 species
GGAGAGUUAGAUCUUGGCUCAGGAUAAACGCUGGCGGCGUGCCUAAUACAUGCAAGUCGAGCGAACGGAUUUAGAGCUUGCUCUCAAGAAGUUAGCGGCGGACGGGUGAGUAACACGUGGGUAACCUGCCCAUAAGACUGGGAUAACUCCGGGAAACCGGGGCUAAUACCGGAUAAUAUUUUGAACUGCAUGGUUCGAAAUUGAAAGGCGGCUUCGGCUGUCACUUAUGGAUGGACCCGCGUCGCAUUAGCUAGUUGGUGAGGUAACGGCUCACCAAGGCAACGAUGCGUAGCCGACCUGAGAGGGUGAUCGGCCACACUGGGACUGAGACAUGGCCCAGACUCCUACGGGAGGCAGCAGUAGGGAAUCUUCCGCAAUGGACGAAAGUCUGACGGAGCAACGCCGCGUGAGUGAUGAAGGCUUUCGGGUCGUAAAACUCUGUUGUUAGGGAAGAACAAGUGCUAGUUGAAUAAGCUGGCACCUUGACGGUACCUAACCAGAAAGCCACGGCUAACUACGUGCCAGCAGCCGCGGUAAUACGUAGGUGGCAAGCGUUAUCCGGAAUUAUUGGGCGUAAAGCGCGCGCAGGUGGUUUCUUUAAGUCUGAUGUGAAAGCCCACGGCUCAACCGUGGAGGGUCAUUGGAAACUGGGAGACUUUGAGUGCAGAAGAGGAAAGUGGAAUUCCAUGUGUAGCGGUGAAAAUGCGUAGAGAUAUGGAGGAACACCAGUGGCGAAAGGCGACUUUCUGG